CACGGGGCCUGGGGCCUGGGUGCCCCUCCCCACUGCCUGACUCCAUGGUACCUGCGGUGCCACACUUGUGGCUAAGCUGGUCCAUGCUGGGGCCAGAGGGGGUGAUGUCCAACACCCCCCAGGAACCUACCGUUUUCUAGGCGCUGCCAGAGUCUUUGCACACUUUACCUCGUUAAAUGCCUCUCACAGCCUUGUGGGGUAGAAAUAAUCACACCCAUUUUACAGAUGAAGAAAUCCACGGAGUUCUAGCAACGUUUCCAAGUUUGCAGCUCUGGCACGGGGGAGAUGCAGUCGUGGCCGCUGAGUGCAGCACCUGCCUCCACUCUCCCUGAGGAAAGGACGCACUGCGUUUCUUCAUGUGGGGCUGCACCUGACUACAUGCGGGGAGUGACCCCGCUUGCCAGGCCAACCUGAGGGGCAAGAGUGAUUUUCCAGCAGACAUUUCUUGAACGAUUCUUCAAAGAUCCACUCUCCGUCGCCCCUGCGCCGAGAGGAGCAGCCCUCGGGGGCGCAGAGCGGCCCACAGGCCUGGAAGAGCCUGCCGUCGACGUCAACAGGGCCCUGCCGACGGGGAGGAGGCGUCCCUCCCUCUCCCCCUGGGGACUCCCACUCUCCCCCUCCUCCCUGUCUUCAGCCUCUGCUGUAAGAAGCCUCUGCUGGAAGGUGGUCAGGUGGCCGGGGCCCUCAGCCGGGUCUGGGCCCUUGCCCCUCCAUCCCAGCCCCAGGGCCCGACCCCCAGGGCCGCCUCCCACCCCCUGCAAGCCCUGGCCAGGUAGCCAGGUUCUGCCUCAAGCCGGGCCGUGCUGGGGACUCUGGAUCUCCCCAGCCAGCGAGCAUGAGGGAGGAGGCUUAGUGGCCAUGCACGCUGACCUGCAAGCCUGGUAGUUCCAGAAGCACGCACUGGACUGCGGGCUGGCCAGGGAGGCCUUCGGGCCUGGAACAGGGGGCGCUGUCCCAGGAGGGAAGAACCACCCAGUGGACUUGGAGCACGAUCCUUCCAGUUGACUCAAACCCGGACCUCCUCACUCUCCCCACUGUUGUUGCAUUGUAAGAGCUGUGUUGUCUGCUGUCCCCCUUAAUCUGCUCAGCCUCGUCUUCCCACCUGAAACUUCAGGAGUUUAUUACCAUCUGUUCCCAAACUUUCGCUGGUGCCCCCGAAAUACCGUCCAGUGUCUGUGUAGCACUAGACUGAAUCCAGCGGCUUCCCCACACCCAUCUGUCCACGGAUCCAUUGAAUGAGGUUGGACCGUGCACCGAAUUCCAUGCCUGGCGCAUGGGGAGGGCACAGCAAAUGCCACCACGCUGGCUAAUUUCAUGCGUCAACGUGACUGGGCCCCUGGAUGCCCAGACAUUUGGUCAAACAUCAUCCUGGGUGUGCCCGUGAGGGUGUCUCUGGAUGAGAUUAACAUUUUAGUUGGUAGACUGAGUAAAGCAGAUGGCCCUCCCUGAUGUGGGUGGGCCUCAUCCAAACAGCUGAAGACCUGAAUAGAACAAAAAGGCAGAGCAAGAGGGAACUCGUCCAGCCCGACUGCACGGCUGGGAGCUGGGUCUUCUCUGGCCUUCAGAUUUGGAUGGAAAAACUGGCUCUUCUUGGGUCUCCAGCCUGCUGGCUUUCUGACUGGAGCUAUGGCCUCUUCUGGUUUGCAGGCCUCUGGCCUUGGAGGGAAGCGCACUGGCUCUCCGGGGGCUCCAGCUGGCGGACGGCGGGUCUUGGGACUUGUCAGCCUCCAUCACCACGUUAGCCAGUUCCUCAUAGUAAAUCUCUGUACGCAUCUAUUCUCGCCUACUGGCUCUGAUCUCUGGAGAACCCUAAUACGUCAUCGGCGUGACCAGGGCCACCACUGCAUCUCCACGCCAUGCAGCCAACAACCACCCGGAGCCUACGGAGCAUCAGGCACCAUGAGUUCAUUAACCCAAAAUCAUUUAUUAAGUGCCUGUUGUGUGCCCAAGAGGGCCGCGAAGACCAUCCGUGCCGCGGUGGACGAGACGCAGACGUUACCAGUCGAGGCUGGCCGUCAGCGCGAGACUCUUGGUCAGGAGCUAGACGGUUCUUUAUUACAAUAGAAACCAGCAAAAUAAAUUUACUUAUUAUUGUGA